rnacentral:tRNA from 1 species
GCCUGGGUAGCUCAGUCAGUUGAGCAUCUGACUCUUGCUUUUGACUCAGGUCAUGAUCAAGCAUGGGAUCAAGCCCCAUGCUGGGCU